UACGUAGGCAGCAAGCGUUGUUCGGAAUUACUGGGCGUAAAGAGUGUGUAGGCGGUGCUCUAAGUUCGGUGUGAAGUCUCCCGGCUUAACUGGGAGGGUGCGCCGGAAACUGGAGUGCUUGAGCGCGGGAGAGGAAAGCGGAAUUCCUGGUGUAGCGGUGAAAUGCGCAGAUAUCAGGAAGAACACCCGUGGCGAAGGCGGCUCUCUGGGACGGUACUGACGCUGAGACGCGAAAGCGUGGGGAGCGAACAGG
rnacentral:rRNA from 1 species